rnacentral:rRNA from 1 species
GUGCCAGCAGCCGCGGUAAUACGUAGGUGGCAAGCGUUAUCCGGAAUUAUUGGGCGUAAAGCGCGCGUAGGCGGUUUUUUGAGUCUGAUGUGAAAGCCCACGGCUCAACCGUGGAGGGUCAUUGGAAACUGGAAAACUUGAGUGCAGAAGAGGAAAGUGGAAUUCCAUGUGUAGCGGUGAAAUGCGCAGAGAUAUGGAGGAACACCAGUGGCGAAGGCGACUUUCUGGUCUGUAACUGACGCUGAUGUGCGAAAGCGUGGGGAUCAAACA